rnacentral:rRNA from 1 species
UUAAAUUGAAGAGUUUGAUCAUGGCUCAGAUUGAAUGCUGGCGGCAGGCCUAACACAUGCAAGUCGAACGGUAACAGGAAACAGCUUGCUGUUUCGCUGACGAGUGGCGGACGGGUGAGUAAUGUCUGGGAAACUGCCUGAUGGAGGGGGAUAACUACUGGAA